UUUUCAUUUUACAAUCAAGUAAAGAUUUCCAUUUUCAGUUCCAAGUUUAAAAUAAAUUUUGAAUCAUAAAUUCCAACCAUAAUUUAUGAACAUUUAUUUACGUCAAGUUUUAAUAUAAGUCCUUCAGAGAAGAAGAAAUACAUUAAUACAGUAAAAAUUUAGCCCAUGGAAGGGCACAUAUAUAAAUGUGAUAUUGAAUAUUCCUCCAGAAAAUUUAUACUACAAGACUCAUGUCACAAAUAAAUCUAAAAUGUGAUUAAAAUGAUAUAAGAGUUAUACUUCGAUGGGAUAGAUUUAAAAAGAAGAGACAAAAAUGUGGAGGGAGGAAUCAAGAGUUUUGGCCCUACCAAUACCCCAAAAAAAUUCUGCAUUAAUAACUUCAAGUUCCCAAAUUUUACUUCUUUGCUUUUUAUCCGGGAAGAUCCUUAACUUAUAUAAAAGUUCCAAAGUUCUAGAGUAAAUUAUCCUGUUGAGAAGGCUCACAUAACCACAAACUACAGUGUCCAGGUAUUUCAGCAAGGUAACCAAAACAAAGGCAACUUACGUCAUGGGUGGGAAAAUUAUGAAUUUAUGAUUAACAUACCAUAAAAUGGUGUUUAAAAUAGGACAUUUCUCAUAAAUCACAAUCAUAUCCCAUAAAGGUUUCCACAUUUAUGAUAUGAAAUCCCAACAGUCCAUUCCAACUAUUUCGGAAAGAGAUUCGCACAAACUGAGUUGAGAAAAACUUACAAAUAUUGCCAAAGUUUAUUAAAUUUUUCACACUGAGACCAUUCUAGCUUACACAGGAUAGAGAACUCCAUUUCACUAAAGCAUACUAUCCAAAUAAAGAAGCAUGGAUUCGCUAGCUUAUAAACAUCCAAAGAAUUUGUAAAAUUUACGCACCCAAGACUUCAUCUCUUGAGUGCCCUUUUCUUAGUAUGUGUAUUUUCAUUUUACUCCUGCAGUCCCGCUUCUGCUCUUUUUGUAAUAUGUGGUCGUUCGCUCUACUCGUGCUUUUGCUCUCCUUGAUAGAACAGGUCUGCAUAAAAGAUUCUCUCUCUCUCUCUCNNNNNNNNNNNNNNNNNNNNNNNNNNNNNNNNNNUUAGUUCGGUUCGUUCGUCGUCUACUCGUCGUCGUUUCGUUCUCUCCUUCGUACGUAGUAACGACGUACGUCGUCGACUAAUAACGUACUCUCUCUCUCUCUCUCUCUCUCUCUCUCUCUCUCUCUCUCUCCACCCCCCCACCCUUCCCAGCAAACACCUUUAUUUCUUUUGCCAAGUGUGUAAGAAAAUAAUUUAACAUAGGUCUGCAUACACUAUUCUCAACAUGGUGUAAGAGUCUGAGGGACUAGAACUCCAAGAGUCUGAAAGCCUUGUUUCUUGAAUUGUCUUUACAGAAUAUCCCUGGUUAAAAGCCGAGUCCACUUUGUGAGAUCAGGCCAACAGUCACUCAUGGCUCCCCUUUUCAUAUCCAUUCCCCAUAGGGGAGUCAUGGCUCCAUUUGCAUCAGCAAAGCCACAACAACAAAAAUAUACUACCUCUGUUCCAGGGUCCAUUUUCCCUUUAUUUUUUGGAUUGUUUUCAAGGUAGAGCAGGAGAAAAUUAUGGGUUCUGCAUUCUCAACCAACUUUUGAGGUAGUUCUCAAACCUUUGUUUACUUCCAUUGUCUCGAAAUUAUCCAAUACAUGUCUUUGUCCUGAUUCAUUUCUCUGAAAACACAACCUUUUGUACUUGUUCAUGCUAGACGAAUUUUUGUUCAUGUCGUAUUCAGCCAGAAGAACUACCAAAGUUAGAUCUUUCAGCUUGGUGUUAUAGUGAAGCAUAAAUACUUGAAGACUCCACAAAGCAUGAUAUAAGCCAAGUAUAGAGUCAUACUUUAUGCUACAUUUAGCCACACAAAGGUUGGAAGUUGGAUAAAUCCAUGACAUCGUGUCUACAACUACCUUACAAAUUGACAAAUUGGAUUCGCAAUACAUGAUGGAUGCCAAGAAAUUCAUGAUAAUGUUCAGCAGAGUGAUUGAAAACUCAGCCUGAGUUACUCAGACUCGGUUCCUUGCUGCACCGAGUGCUCUGGUGCAACUUGGGCCAUUAAAAAAUCAAAUCAAAAAAAUUAUAUAAAAAUGUGGAACAAAUGCAUAAGAAUAACAUAUGUAAUUGGAUACUUCUUAGAAUGAUUUGAGAGUUUUUCUUCUCAUAUGCCCUAUUUUUAUAUUUUUCUCUUUUUCUGGAUUUUUCUGAAAUGUCUCCAACCAUAAGUCGAGUUUUUCUCAACUCAUGUUUUAUAUAAGGAAAAUUGUUUCAUGCGGGCUGGACCGCAUUUCUACAUAUGCGGUUCAAAAGUAUAAAGCAUCCAUCUUAAAGAUGGAUGCAAAUAUGCGGUCCAUCUAAAAACAAUUGAAACUAACGGUCCAAAUGUUUUCUUAAUAGAAUUAUUAUUUCUAGUUUUUAAAAUUUAUUUAUUUUUUCAUAUUCAUGAUCUCCAUCUUAGAGAUUACAUAUCCUUAAAAAUUAAGUCCAAAAAUCCAUCUCAAAAAUAAACUUAUUAAGGGGCCUGCAGUUCUACAUGUGUGGGCUUGGCCUACAUGCUAACCGCAUCCCUUAUAUAAUCUUUUAGCUUUUUGGGACUUUUUAUGUUAUCUUUGGUUUUGUUUCACUUUUAUAAUUUUUAUCCCAUUUUUAAACAAUUCUUUUGAAUUUAUUUUUAGGGCCUUUUGGGCCGCCUUGUACACUACUUGGCUGAGCCUCCGCGGAAUUGGCAGAGUUACUCGGCUUGGACCAUGCUGAGUCUGAGGCCCAAGCCGUUUUUAAGAACAUAUUCAAAAUUAUGUUCUUGAUUCAAAAAUGAAAGUGUUUGAGGCAUGAAUGGCAUCACGCCCAAUGCAUAACAUGCUUAAUUAUCUAAGAGAUUUAUGAAAUUACAUAAAAUGCCUUCUGUUUGUUAACAUAGACUACUGCAAACAAACAUAUUCAAAAUUCUCGACAUUUCAACAGAUAUUAAAACAUCAAAGUUCAAAAUUUGCACCAAAACACAAUGUAAACAACAUAUAAAGCCUAACUCCACAGAACCACACGAAAUGUUGAAGAGAAAGGGGCCCUAUAUUGGAUGUGAAAAGGGAAUUCAUGUCAUAAUCGACAUACAAACAUGCGUCAAGUGAUAAAUAACGACAAAUGAAAUGGGUAAUUCAAAGAUUCCAGGUUUCUAUAACAGAUGGAUUUUUUUCAAAUCACGCAAAAAAAAUCUGAUAACAGAUGGAUUUUUUUCAAAUCAUGCAAAAAAAAUUAUGAUCAAAUGCAAGAAAUAGGCCAGAGAGAAAAUUGAAUCAAAG
rnacentral:lncRNA from 1 species